rnacentral:misc_RNA from 1 species
GAUGAAGAACGCAGAGAAAUGCGAUAAGUAAUGUGAAUUGCAGAAUUCAGUGAAUCAUCGAAUCUUUGAACGCACAUUGCGCCCGCCAGUAUUCUGGCGGGCAUGCCUGUUCGAGCGUCAUUACAACCCUCAGGCCCCCGGGCCUGGCGUUGGGGAUCGGCGGAGCCCCCCGUGGGCACACGCCGUCCCCCAAAUACAGUGGCGGUCCCGCCGCAGCUUCCAUCGCGUAGUAGCUAACACCUCGCGACUGGAGAGCGGCGCGGCCACGCCGUAAAACACCCAACUCUUCUGAAGUUGACCUCGAAUCAGGUAGGAAUACCCGCUGAACUUAAGCAUAUCAAUAAGCGGAGGA